rnacentral:rRNA from 1 species
CCUACGGGAGGCAGCAGUGAGGAAUAUUGGUCAAUGGACGAGAGUCUGAACCAGCCAAGUAGCGUGAAGGAUGACUGCCCUAUGGGUUGUAAACUUCUUUUAUAUGGGGAUAAAACGUUCCACGUGUGGGAUUUUGUAUGUACCAUAUGAAUAAGGAUCGGCUAACUCCGUGCCAGCAGCCGCGGUAAUACGGAGGAUCCGAGCGUUAUCCGGAUUUAUUGGGUUUAAAGGGAGCGUAGGUGGAUUGUUAAGUCAGUUGUGAAAGUUUGCGGCUCAACCGUAAAAUUGCAGUUGAAACUGGCAGUCUUGAGUACAGUAGAGGUGGGCGGAAUUCGUGGUGUAGCGGUGAAAUGCUUAGAUAUCACGAAGAACUCCGAUUGCGAAGGCAGUUCACUGGACUGCAACUGACACUGAGGCUCGAAAGUGUGGGUAUCAAACAGGAUUAGAUACCCCUGUAGUC